UGGGGAAUAUUGCACAAUGGGCGCAAGCCUGAUGCAGCCAUGCCGCGUGUAUGAAGAAGGCCUUCGGGUUGUAAAGUACUUUCAGCGGGGAGGAAGGGAGUAAAGUUAAUACCUUUACUCAUUGACGUUACCCGCAGAAGAAGCACCGGCUAACUCCGUGCCAGCAGCCGCGGUAAUACGGAGGGUGCAAGCAUUAAUCGGAAUUACUGGGCGUAAAGCGCACGCAGGCGGUUUGUUAAGUCAGAUGUGAAAUCCCCGGGCUCAACCUGGGACCUGCAUCUGAUACUGGCAAGCUAGAGUCUCGUAGAGGGUGGUAGUAUUCCGGGUGUAGCGAUGAAAUGCGUAGAGAUCUAGAGGAAUACCGGUGGCGAAGGCGGCCCCCUGGACGAAGACUGACGCUCAGGUGCGAAAGCGUGAGGAGCAAACAGG
rnacentral:rRNA from 1 species